rnacentral:rRNA from 1 species
CCUACGGGAGGCAGCAGUGGGGAAUUUUCCGCAAUGGGCGAAAGCCUGACGGAGCAACGCCGCGUGAGGGAUGAAGGCCUCUGGGCUGUAAACCUCUUUUAUCAAGGAAGAAGAUCUGAUGGUACUUGAUGAAUAAGCCACGGCUAAUUCCGUGCCAGCAGCCGCGGUAAUACGGGAGUGGCAAGCGUUAUCCGGAAUUAUUGGGCGUAAAGCGUCCGCAGGCGGUCUGUCAAGUCUGCUGUUAAAGCGUGGAGCUUAACUCCAUUUCGGCAGUGGAAACUGACAGACUAGAGUGUGGUAGGGGCAGAGGGAAUUCCCGGUGUAGCGGUGAAAUGCGUAGAUAUCGGGAAGAACACCAGUGGCGAAGGCGCUCUGCUGGGCCAUAACUGACGCUCAUGGACGAAAGCCAGGGGAGCGAAAGGGAUUAGAUACCCCUGUAGUCCUGGCCGUAAACGAUGAACACUAGGUGUCGGGGGAAUCGACCCCCUCGGUGUCGUAGCCAACGCGUUAAGUGUUCCGCCUGGGGAGUACGCACGCAAGUGUGAAACUCAAAGGAAUUGACGG